rnacentral:rRNA from 1 species
UGGGGAAUCUUGGACAAUGGGGGCAACCCUGAUCCAGCCAUGCCGCGUGAGUGAUGAAGGCCUUAGGGUCGUAAAGCUCUUUCGCCUGUGAAGAUAAUGACGGUAGCAGGUAAAGAAACCCCGGCUAACUCCGUGCCAGCAGCCGCGGUAAUACGGAGGGGGUUAGCGUUGUUCGGAAUUACUGGGCGUAAAGCGCACGUAGGCGGACCAGAAAGUUGGGGGUGAAAUCCCGGGGGCUCAACCCCGGAACUGCCUCCAAAACUAUUGGUCUAGAGUUCGAGAGAGGUGAGUGGAAUUCCAAGUGUAGAGGUGAAAUUCGUAGAUAUUUGGAGGAACACCAGUGGCGAAGGCGGCUCACUGGCUCGAUACUGACGCUGAGGUGCGAAAGUGUGGGGAGCAAAACAGGAUUAGAUACCCUGGUAGUCCACACCGUAAAACGAUGAAUGCCAGUCGUCGGGUAGCAUGCUAUUCGGUGACACACCUAACGGAUUAAGCAUUCCGCCUGGGGAGUACGGUCGCAAGAUUAAAA